CACCACAUCCCAUCAUCUUGUGUUACAGAGAAGGAAAGAGAGAUCAAGCAGCGUGUUUGAUGAUGGAGUGGUGGUGCUUCCCAUGCGGCGAGUUCCGGUCGGCGUCGCCGCCCGUCUCGGCAUCCGAAGGGCCGGGCUGAGGAAGGAGGUGAGGACGUGCACGUCCUGUGGGAGAUGCUGCGGAAGACCGACCCCGAGAUCGGACGGCAGUCGCCGGCAUGCAGCGCGAUCGAACGGCGGCAUGCAGCACGUUUCAUUACAUUGUGACGUUGAGACAUGUUCGAUUGGCUUCGUAGAUGAUGUCAAUGAGGUACUAAAACCAAAAAACUGACAUCUUUUGGGUGCGUA